UUAACUAUUUUAUAGUGCUUCAGAGGACUAGUUUCAAAAGGGUUUUGUGUGUGCUUUCGGCGGGCGUUUUGGCUGCCCCGCCCUGGGGCAACCCGCCGAGGCAACAAUAAAGACCACAGUGGUUUGGAGUUUUGCAACUCGUUAAUGAUCCCUCCGCUGGUUCACCAACGGAGA
rnacentral:misc_RNA from 1 species